GAUGAACGCUGGCGGCGUGCCUAACACAUGCAAGUCGAACGGGACUUAUUGAGAUGAUUUCGGUCUGAUCUUUAAGUUUAGUGGCGGACGGGUGAGUAACGCGUGGACAACCUGCCUUUCACAGGGGGAUAGCAGCUGGAAACGGCUGGUAAUACCGCAUACGCUCGUGUCACCGCAUGGUGAUGCGAGGAAAGAUUUAUCGGUGAAAGAUGGAUCCGCGUCUGAUUAGCCAGUUGGCGGGGUAACGGCCCACCAAAGCGACGAUCAGUAGCCGGCCGGGGAGGGCGGACGGCCACAUUGGGACUGAGACACGGCCCAGACUCCUACGGGAGGCAGCAGUGGGGGAUACUGCACAAUGGGCGCAAGCCUGAUGCAGCGACGCCGCGUGAGUGAAGAAGUAUUUCGGUAUGUAAAGCUCUAUCAGCAGGGAAGAAAGGCCCUUUAAGGGAGAUGACGGUACCUGACUAAGAAGCCCCGGCUAACUACGUGCCAGCCGCCGCCGUAAGAC
rnacentral:rRNA from 1 species